UUAAGAGAAAUUGCAUUGUGGGAACUUUAGUGUCUCUUGUCUGUCUAUAGUUUUCUGCGUCCUGAUUGGCUGUAGACCAAUUCCAAUCAAUCUCAUUCAAGUAGCCUUGCAACGUCUCCUGUAUGUGUCAUAGCUAGUUUGCUAGCUUGCUAACAAGGUAACAAGGAUACAAAAACAAUACAGCACAGCGAAACUGUACCAGGACCAAAAGCUUCAUCUUCCCACUCCAGCCAAGGACGUGUACGAGUGUGCAGGUGACACACACUCAUUGCCGCAGUCAUUUGACCUCUCACCCCAACAAUGGAGUCUGACCCUGAGCUGCUCCUUCAUUUAAUCACCUGACCUUCGCAUCACGCCACCAGCGUUCUCCUUUCAGGCUUUUUUACCGAGCUUUUGCCGCCUCCCCUGUCGAUGAAGGGCUCACGACAGUCGUCCGCCAUUCUGCAUGACUGCCAGUAUAAAUCUGACGCAGACGGACUCAUCUCCCGGUUAUCACCCCACCCACUAUCGGCUGCUACUUAAGCAUAGUCCCAAGCCCCUAGUGGUAUUUGGUGGUACCAAGCGGGUGCCUCUUGGUCUGGCGACGACACCCCAAGCUCGGGUCGCACUGACAUCACAUGAUUGCCUAUGAAUAUGUGCUCACAACGAGGGCUGAAAUGGUUCGGGAAUAGGAGCCGUUUUGAUUCACCGCCUCCUCCUUCUGCCUCAGGCUGCAGCGUUUGAGCUGCACAGGUCAGUCUGGAAGUAUUUCGGGAUCCAUAGCAGCCAACUGGACAUCAUUUGAUGCUGCGCAAGACAAAAUGGUGUGUAAUUUAAUAGUUGGAGCAACGUGAAUACAGCAAAUAACCAUUCCAUUCAAAUUACUUCAGUCAUUUCAGAUCCUCGAUGAUAUA